CGGCAGUGCAUUGCAUUUGCAGUGUAAAGUGGAGUUCAUUAAACGGUAGUGCAUUGCAUUUGCAGUGUAAAAUGG
rnacentral:pre_miRNA from 13 species